rnacentral:rRNA from 1 species
UACGGGGGGAGCAAGCGUUGUUCGGAUUUACUGGGCGUAAAGGGCGCGUAGGCGGUUUGUUAAGUCGGUCGUGAAAGCCCGGGCUCGAACCCGGAGGGUCGACCGAUACUGGCAGGCUAGAGUACAGAAGAGGUAGCUGGAAUUCCCGGUGUAGCGGUGAAAUGCGAUAGAUAUCGGGAGGAACACCUGAGGCGAAGGCGGGCUAACUGGGCUGAGUACUGACGCUGAGGCGCGAAAGCUAGGGAGCAAACGGG